UUAUCAAUUAAGUUGUAUAAAGUGUUAAAAGAGAAAGCAAACAAUCUGCCACUGCGCUACUGAUAUUGGAAUACAACAAAAAUAUUUAAGGUAAGUUAUUUUUUCUUAUUUUCAUGAAAUGAUGAAAAAUAUAUUUUCUUUAAAAAGGAAGUAUUGCAGAAGUUUAUAAUUAACAUUGUAUGUUUUUUAAAUAUAUAUUUUAAAGACAUUGGGUUUCAAAAUUCAUGUUAGAAAAUAUUAUAACUAAUUUGUCAAAGAAAAACCCGUUUAAUGGUUGUCUUAUGUUGCAUUUUGAUGUCUUUUACUAUUUGAUGCACUUUGUGUUGAUGGCAGAUCUUUUCUAGUUUCUGCUUGAGUGAAUUACAACUUUUUGUACUCUAUUGAGAGCUUCGCAUGUCAACACCUAUGUGUUGUAGUGGUCUUGGUUAUAUUGUCACUUUGUAAACUUAAUUGACGUCGUCAUGUCAUCACUGUCGUUCUCAUAGAAACCAAGUAUCAUCCUCGGUAUCAUCAUAUUUUCAGCUAGUAGAAAGUAAUCUUAAGAAUACAAAUACCGUUACUUCUAUGGUACAUGCAGUUUUGGUUUUCACCCAAAAAACCUUGUAACUUCACGUCUUUAACACUUGAGUCUUUCAUAUCUAUUUAAAUACGUGUUGCAAUCAAGAUAGACGGCUUGUCUUUAAAAAAAAAUGAUCAGGACUUAAAAUACAUGUGUAUCGACCUCUAGAUUUCUUUAUCGCGGGAAUUUUUGGCAUGAGUUUAAAUUGCUUUCUUUUGACGUUAUCCAUAUAUCUACCUUGGAUAAUAUUGCAGGAAUAUUUCUAUAUUUGUGCGUGAUGUUUUUAAAUUUGAUGCGACUUCAAUCAUCUGAUGCAACUUCCCUCUGUUGAAUAACCCCGUGUGUCGUUAAACAAUCAAAGAUGAUUUUUAACACGACAUAGUCACUGAAUACCUCAUGUAUAUAUGUUACCAUAGGUAUUUUGUAUUUUAUGUCUGUAAUUCAAGAUCAUUAAUAUAUAUAUGUUUGGAUUCUGUUACCAAAUUCUUGGCUGACCUUCAUGUCCUUGUUAAAGUUUUAAGGAUAGCUGCUACAAGUUUCCAUGGCAAUUAUGUCAAAUAUCCCUUUUAUUUUCUUUUGAACUUUUACAUGUAACAAUUUCAAUGCGCGUGACAUAUAUUUCAUAAGAAAUGCCGCAUCACUAAACAUUUUACGAACGAUGCAUUUUGAUUUCUUUGCUUUUUGGUCAUACAUGAACUAUACACAGAUGAUGAGAAAAGGAAGAUUGGUUGACUCAGUAGAACAUGUAAACUUAGCCUAUAUCGGAUGUAUAUAGCUUUCAAUCAGAAAUUCUCUACCAUAUAUAGUGCACUUAUGUUUACAGUUUGUUGGAAAAUCGAUAGCAAAGGAAAUUGAAGUUUUCCACAAGUGAUUACAAAACUAUUUGGGCACUUACAAUCUAACCAGCGACAUUACUUGAACUUUCAAAUUUAAUUUCCCAUCAGUCGCAAGGCAGAUGGACAUGUUUAAAAAAUACUGACCAAAACCACUUAGAAUAUUUAACAGGCGGACAAAAAUGUUUGCCGGUAUCCCGGGUGAGAGCGUUAUCUUUACGACAUAUAAAUAGCUGUGUAAUUGACAGUUUAAAACUCCCAAGUAUCCUCAUUGAUACACGAUAUCUCUGCUACUGCUUGCCAUCAAAGGAAUUUCCCAAUACACCUUCUCCGCCUUCAAGUGUGAAGAACACUUAAAUCACAAGGAGGGUUCCUUGCUCCUUUCAUAUGGAAUAAUCUUGUGACUUCUAUUCUGAUUUAUGGGUCAUAGAUGAAAUGAAGAAGUUGAUCUUUGUCUUUAUCAAGGGUCUGCACAGAGAACACAAGACUGAAAUCAUGUGAGAAGUAGAAAUUAAGAUGUCACAAUAAUUGCGGGGAAUUCUUCAGUUCUCUUUUUUUUUUGGUCUUUUGUUUUUAGGAUAUCUACAUUGUUUUACAAAAAGCGUUCUGGUUGACAAUGUGGACAUCACAUCUUAUUUAGAUGUAAGUAAACAAAAUCUAUUUAUAAAAUAAUGAAAUAUGAAAAAGUGAUUGAUUGAUACAUGAACCACAACAAACACUAUCCAACACAUACAUUUAAAAUUCGCUGCAAGAAAGAAAACCGAACACAAUGCAUAUUACUUGACAUGCUACAGGCAAUAAUGUGGUGAGAUUGAAUAUUAAAAUAUCUUGUGACUUAUGAGUUUGACUAUCCCUUUGGUAUUUUCCGCCUUUCUUGUGUUAUAGCUAUAGGAAAACCUACAGUUGAAGUGAUCUGAAAUGUUGUGACGAUAGUUUAUUAAGGUAGACCCCAUCAUAUCUAUAUCUGCUGCGUGCAUCAAGAAAAAUGUCUAGCUCAUGUGUUUGUCACAAGUUGUUGCAUUUUCUGUGUGUCUAGUUUUUUCUCUUUGAUUUGUUCUGUUAUAUGUAAUACAUGUACGUGUCAAUUGACCGUUUUGUUACCCAAACAUCAACUUCAACUUUCAACAAGUCAAUUAAUUUUGUCUGCAACAAGUUGGUUGGUAACUAUUGCAGAUGGUGGCUCAACAAUAAACAUGAAAUAUUGUGUGGCGAUUUCUAGCAGAAAAUUGCAGUAAAUCAUAGUUAUAUUUGGCUUCCAACUUUAAAAAGGUUGUAAUUGGUGUCUUAUGUAGGAAAAGUAAAAAGGUUGUAAUUGGUGUCUUAUGUCGGAAAAGUAUAUACUUAGUAUGCUUGUCGUAAUGCCACGGUUUGUUUCAUAUUCGGAAAUCAAAAGUUUCUGGUCUUUUUCUGUCUGUCUAGAGAAUGUAAGGAUCGAAGAUCAUUGACUUUGGAAAAUGAUAUAUAGACUUCACAUAACUGAUGGCUAUUAUCAAUGUGGUGAUUUUGUUGUGACAAGCGGUAAUCAAUACCCCUACUUACAUUUAUAAUAAAGAAACCAAUAUUUAAAUAAUAUUACCAAGUUAAUAAAUAGUUUUGUUUCUGUGCUACCCGGGGAAGUGAGGCAGACUUAAGGACAAAACAAAUAAAACGAUUGUAAACACAGAUAGGAAAGCAGUAACAACCAACACCAAAACUAUUUCCUGUACCCGAGGCGCCAUCUGGGGUAAAUAAUGAUGUUAUCUACCUCCAAUAAUGUGAUGACUGUAGAUAUCCCCUAAAAAAAGUGUAACAUUACGUUCUUUCUUGUUCAAUAUGCCAUUCAAUGAAGAAAUAAAUAUUAUAUGUUUUUGUAAGUUGUCAAACCGUAACAAUUAUAAUUGACUGGGGUCGAGACGUCACAAAUCAAUUAAGUGAUUUGCUUUUCCGGUUGUCGUUGUUCGAUGUUUUUUGUAAUGUUUAUUAGUUUGGCUUUCUGAAGAUAUUUUUAUGCUGAAGUACUGUAAUAGUUUAGUUAUUUUGCAUAUUUUCUUCAUCUUCGUCAAAAACUUAUCUUUUCAAUCUCUCUGAGGACGGUUUUCAUUUCUUCCGAUUUUUAUACCUAUUGAGGCCAUCUUCUUAUGAUCAAAGUAAACUUAUACGAGACAUAGUUUAACCUUCGACAUUAGCCAAAUAAACACCUAUCAUUAAAAUGCAUAUAUAGAAUAUCAUCAAUAAUUUGUAUAAAAGAUAUUAAACAUGUUUUAAAGUUUGGUCUCAAUUGCAUAUUUUAUAAGCCCCGAGCUUUUAUUAAACAAGAUGGAAAUUGUCUCUUUGAAAGACAUAUAAAAACUCAUAAAAAUAAAAACUUUUUUGAAUGUGGAAAAGUUUUAUAAGUUUUCAUAAUUGAAAUAGGAGAUUAAGUUGUAUUUUAUGAUUAUUUGCUGUUUAAAACGUUGUUUUAUGUUUCCAGACCACGUAGAGCUACUGCAUUCAGUUGCUGGUUUUAAAAUAAAAUUGAAGAAAAAAAUCAUUAACAUAAAAAGUGUUUAAUGAGAGUUUUAGAUUUAAGUAUAUUUCUCAUAGAUUUGGGUAUCUUUGAAAGUUGAAGGGGACAAAUACCGUUGUAAAGGCAGAAUAGGAUGAGAAAUCAAAAAUAAAAGAAUAAGACAGUAUAAUUAAGAAGAAUUAAAACACGCAGCUUAACUUAUAAAUAUCUUAUGAUUAUGAAUUUAGAAGACUUCAAGUACAGGACAACACUAUCGAAAGAGAGAAAAAUCACUGAUUUCUGAGAUGCAUACCAGUUUCUAGUUCUUUGUAGAGCAAAGUCUCAGUUUAAAAUGAUACUUUCUUCAUUUUCCCCAUAUACAUAUAUGAAGAACUAUAUCUCCCCUGGCGAACUAUUUUAAAACAAAUUGAGGAGUUUGUAACUAAGGUUCAUAACCCUGAUAGAACUAACCUCACCCUUUUCUUUUCAUUAUUGAAGGAACUAUAUAUAACGAUAGAUAUAUUUAUGACUAUGUAAUUCAUUUUGAGCGGAAUCCAUAUAUACCAUUAUUAAUCAAUCAAUCAAUCAAUCAAUCAAUCAAUCGAUCGAUCUUCGUUAUAUUUGAUCUUCAUCCUGUAUGGGUUUUGCUCAUUGUACGGUGAUGUUUAGCUCUUUAUUUGUAUGCCGGACAUUUGGUCUCUUGUUGAGAGUUGUUUCAUGGGCAACCCUAAUACCACAUCUUCUUAUUUAAAUGUACACUGCACGACAAGAGGCGAUAACUUUCAACAGAGAAACCACGUGUCUUUUACAGUUGAUAUCCAUUCGUUUGAUGUUUUUGAGCUUUUGAUUUUGUCAUUUUAUUAAGGACUUUACGUUUUGAAUUUUCCACGGAGUUCAGUAUUUUUGUGACUUUACUUUUUGCACACCUGACUUACAUUUGCAAGUCAUAAAAGUUUAUCAGAUAUACCUGUUACAGCAUAACAUAACAAUUAAACCAGCUGGUAGCUAAAACAUAAAUGAAUGAUUUAUGUAGGUCAGAAAUACUGUUGUUGCAUGUUUUUAUUAUUGCCGCAACAUUUCACCUUUUCCUGUUUCCGAGAUUUUCAGAAAGAACAGAUUUUUCAGAUUAAGAUCGCUAUCAAACUUCACCACGAAAUCAUUUCAUGACACGUGACAUUUUAGGAUUGUAUUUUUUAUAGCAGCCAUAUAAUUUUAAAAUUUAAACUAAAUUUAAAGCGAUAACAAUCAAGUGCACUUUAAUCACGUGAUUUUAAUGCAUUUGUCUGAUGGUAAAUGUUGUACAUAAUACAUGAAUUAUGUGUAAACUUAAAAGUGAAGAAAGGCUACGCCUAUUUAUAUAACAAGAGACCUAUAUGUAAAACUGCUGCACUCAGCAUAUCAUAAUUUUGUCCUAUUACUUUAUUUGACUUUAACACCUGCACGAAUUUGAAAAAUGAACAGAAACAAAGAAACAAAAACCCAAAGACACACGAUUGGGUGUUUUUAUUGCUGUUCUGUUACUUCAGAAACAAGGAUUUGUAAAGUGACCACUAUGACCACUAUGCAAAUCCCUGUCAGAAACAAAACAAGCAUUCAGACAAACAAUUACAUGUAUAACGAAGUGUCACUCUUUACUGUUAGCAGAUGUAAGUUAAUAAUAACAUGAAUAACGAUAGGUGUUUGGACAUACAUAAGCCUAGAGAGAUACGUACAAGAAGGGUGAAGAAGCGUCACCUAGAAUCAUGGAUAAAUUAACGAUUUAAAUGGAUUUAUUUACUUUACUCAAACAUUUGGCCAGGAUUAUUUAUCAGUUCAUAACACAACUUUGGAUUUAAGAGCUGUCAUACAUGUAUUUACUGAGCCCGAAAAUUAACUUUCACACCUUCAUGUCACCCGUGUAAUAAAUUUUGACAGUAGUUUAAUUGAUUUCAGAACACCAGAAAAAUAAAUCCUAUAAACAAGUUUUAUUACAUUUUAAAAUCUUGUGAGAAAAACAGUGGGAGUUGAAACCUUAAACUAUGAGACACUAAAUAAGAUUUCCUUUUUUCUAAAACAACUUUCAAUGCAGUUAGCCCUGUGAGAGUCUGAGAAAAAAAUCAUUGCAAGUACCUUACCUAGCAAUAACAUAUGUUUUACAGCCUGUGUACUGACUUCAGCAAUACUAUUGGACGGCAUGCAAAUGCGGAUUCAAAAUCACAGGCACUUGUUUCUAUCCAUUAGAAGACACGCUAUGGACGUAAAUAUACGUUUAUAGUGGUUCUAUUCAUGGAUAGAAACAAGUGCAUGUGUCUAAGAUUUUGAAAAAGAGUGCCCUAGAUAGCCAAUGUUGGGAGCGUUACUUGUAAAACGUUUAUGCAUUUGCCAUUUAUGUAGCCUGUCCCCUUUUCCAAUUGCCUCUGUCAUGACAUUGGACGUUAUAUGGUAUUACUAAACUCGUACAGCAAUCGUUCUGAAUACCAUUUAAAUAUCUUAAGAUAUUCAACCUAACGUUCAACUGCUUACUUUAUAUUCGAGACUAAAAUUAAAAAAAGAUAAACCAACAAAACAAUUUAAGAAAGAAAAAUGCUAGGGCAAAUCUUAGUCAGAACCGAAAACGUCAACUUUCCAGGACGUUUAAGUUUAAAUGUGAGACGAGGAGUGUCAGAAAUGAAUAUCUAAAUUAUUUAUUACUAACAUCUUUUAAAAAAGUCAUUAUAUGUAUUUACAUAUAUAUAGACAGUAAAAUCUUAAAUGCUUUAUCAUUAUAAUCGUGCAAACUUCCAUUAUUCUUUUCGAUCGACUGAAUAUUCUAUUUGACUAUCUAUCCCAAAUGUAUUAGUCUCACUGUUCUAUAUUAUUGAUGAAAUACAAGUGGCUGCUUAAAUUCACGUCAUUACCACAUCUCAAUAGUUUGAAUCUUUCAUAUCUAGAAACUAGCUAGGACAUUAAAAAUCGAUGUUAUAGUUAUCCUCCUUCCAGCAUAAUGUGUCAACAGGAAGAGUAUUCCUUUGCUGCAUUGAAGACCCAUAGUUGACCUUCGGUUGUGAUCUUCUCUUUGUUCGUGUUGUUGUCUCUUUGACAUAUUCCCCAUUUCCACUCUCAGUUUUUAUUUUAAUAUAUAGAUCAGGUAGUUUACAUGCAAUCUCCUAGCGCCUUUGGUCAAAAAAACAAAAUAAAUUGUAAAAUUAAUUAGUCUUUUGGUUACUUUAUUGCAGAACUGAAGUCGUAAAAUUUGACAGUAAAUUGCAAAAUUAUUUUUUUCUGUUUCAUUUCCCGAUCUUUUGUAAGAUCAUUUAACUUCUUCCUCACUUUAUUAAUACGUUUUUGUAACACCAUGCAUGUGAUCUAAGCGACUGACACAAUUAAUAGUAAAAGGGCACUUAAUUAAACAAAAGCUAAUCAGCUUAGGAUCAAAGUGUUGGGAAAGUUUUAGAGUUAAUUAGUCUAUCAGUUGUUAUUUUCACUUUUUAAAUUUGAGUGACUCAUUUAAACCCGUCAAGUAAAUGCAAGCAAGGCUAAUUAGUGAGAUCACAAAAUCAAAAUAUAAAGAAGUUAAUAUUGCUUUUCAUGGAUUAUAUAAGUAAAUGGUUGAGACAAGUGUUACCAAACUAAUUGAAAUCGUGAGAAAAUCAAGUCAGAAAGGCGACAGUACACUGUGGGAUACAAUUGACAAAAUAUUUAUUAAGUUUACUGAAUUAUAUCUAAAUAAUAUUAUAAUGAAUAAAGUAAGUAUAUGCAUGUCUUGCACACGUUUGUUAUAUAAACUGAAUGAUCUUUUAAGAAAGUUAAUAUUAGCUUUAUAAUUGCAUACAUUCUAAGCCGUCUAUGCGUUAAGUUCUAUUUAUGAAAAGCAAGGAUUUUAUUAGUAUUACAAAGUUUACUAUAAAAAUCUUUGCUGCCACCAGAGUAUUUUUAAAGGUUUUAUCAGUUGCAUGAUUUACUAACGCAUGUUUGAUACAAUCUGCUUAACGAUCAACACAAAUGGUUCUUUGACAAAAAAACAUCACCUGGAAAAUAAAAUGAUAAUACACGAAAGAAUCAGCUAUCUCAGAAACUGCGCAACUAUAGUCUAAAGCAUAUACUUAUCUGUGUUUUAAAUCUUAAAAAUAGUGGUUUUUUUUUCUAUUUGUAGAUGUUCCGGUGGUUAAAGAACGGAAAGAACAAAGAAAAGACCUCCAAACAAAAAUCUGCAGGUGACAAUUAUGGUUUUCAUAACCAGUCAAAUUCAAAUUACGGAUUUCAAGGAAGUAAGAAUCCAGAAAAUCUGGAUUCGUCAGUUCAUAUCUAUGAUGAGAUCAGUGAAGUUGCAGAAAUUUCAUUUUCAAGACAAUUCACUCUUUUACCAGAGAAAACUAACAUGGGAAAUAAUGUUGAAGGACCAUAUUUAGUCGUACCAAUAUUACCAAGUAGGAGGACAUCUUCAAAAAAGGAUGCAGAUCAGGAAGAUCAAACAGAUUUUAAUGUAAAAUCGUCAAUGAAAAACGAAAGGAAACAGAGAGUUUACAAUGCACCUUGGGAUAAGCCUAAAAGUGAGCAAGGCGAAAAACAUAAAAAUUCAUUGAUUCAUCCAGCAUUUCGUGACUCAGAUUCUGGCUACACGUGCAACAGUGUAAGCACCAGAACGGACUCCGAUCGUGUUAAUGAUAGUGAUACCGGAUGUGAAUAUGACAUGAGCAUUUCAACUGAAAGUGAUGUAAGCAGCGAGUAUAAGGAACUAAUAAGUAAGAUACAAAACAAUUUAACAUUGAAACAUCAAAUCUUAGACAUGAUAAAGGAGUCAGAAACUGGUGAUGGCGGGAAAAUUAAACCGUCGGCAAAGAUCACGUCAUCAUCUUCUGUCGAUUCUUGCGAUUUCAUUCGGUCACGUGAUACUUUUGACAGAGACGACACAGAGUCAGAAUACAGUAGUGGAUUUGAGGAAUAUGAGUUGGAAGAAAAUUUGUCUUGUAAAAUUCCUUCAGCAAAGGCCGAAAACAGAAAAAGUAAAUUUCAUAGGAAUACAUCUGCAGCAAGUUCUGAAAGUGGAAAAUCUACCUCAAAUCCAAGUGUUUCUAAUUCUGAGACUUCGUACAAGUUACAAACUAACAGCCUCAAAGAACAAUAUGUUAUUCCUAAACGAACCUGCAACCUUCAAAGCAAACGUUCUACCUCGAUAGACAGUUCUUAUAAUAAGAAUGCAGACAUUUAUGGCAAAAGUUCAAGGUCCAAGCGUAAUUCGUUGCAAUCAGCCGCACCAUUAGCUCCUAGUCCAACAAAUAUCUACCAAAAAAGUAACAACACUCGAUAUUCCAGUUCAAAUAGAAUGCUUGGGGAUCUUAUAAACAUGAAUCAUAAUAUGCAAACAAUGAAAUUUUAAAAGACUUUGUAAAUUCUUUACGAACAACAUAUUCGAGGAAGUCUGUACAAAUAAGCAUGACAAAAAUAUAAAUUCUUCACGAAAACCAUGUUGGAGGAAGUCUGCACACCUUAGGCAUGACAAAGAUGGCAUUGGUUCCAACGAAAUGAAUGCCAAGACAAAAGAAAUGAUGACAAUAGACGAUUUUGUAAGUAAUUGAAAUGAGAUUAUAGUAUUUACAAAAGUAUGAAAAUCAAAAACUAAUUAUCGAACAUAUUUUCCGAUCUUUCAGUAUUGGCAAACGUAAACAAUUACUUUUUUUUAAAGUCCGGAGUCAAUGAUGUUAAAGAGAUUAUCUACAGAAAAGAGUCCUUUACAGUAAAUGCGUUGCAAAAUUUCAUAUAUUAACAACAUUAUAAGGUCAUAUGUUGAUAAGGUUUGACCUUUUUGCCUUUUUGUAGAACAUACAUUUUAUUUCGUAUGCAUGUUUCAUAAAUGUUAUGUUUGCCUUGAAGAAAACACAAUGAAUAUAUUGUGAGUCUUUGUGACACUUUUAUAGCACUUACAUUUUAUUUUCUUUAUGGUUGGAAUUCAAUAGUGUCGGAACAAUUUAUCUGCACCCAUCUCUAUUCAUUAUAAUAUUUAUUGCACGGGUCAAAUCUGAUCGAAUACAUAUAUAUUUAGAAUAGACGAUCUUCUAUUUGGACUGAAGUUCUGUGUAAAGCCCAGGAAAGUCAAGACUCGUUGACACAAGACAAAAUAAAUAUGUUCAUGUGUUUUAAAUUAGUAGACCAACAUUGCAGGUUGUAUUGAAAAUUAAAGAUAUUAUGUAGAUGAUAUAUGAAAUCUUAUGAUUUAAUUGAUCUUAUUAUUUUCCAAUUUCUUUUUCAGACAAGACGAUAAAGAGAGCCACCAAGUAAAACCAUGUAAAGUACACAGACAUUGUUAGUGCUAUGUCAUUACAUAAAUUACAUAAAUAACAAAAUUUAA
rnacentral:lncRNA from 1 species